UCAGCAGGUAUCAGAACUUACAAAAUUAUUAAAAGCCAGAAUAUUCUAGACUUGUAGGAGCCACCCAGAACCUCCUGCUGUGCCGCUGCACGAGUCUAUGAACGCAGGAAGCUGUCGGCCGCAGGAUAACGCAGUCUCUGAGUCUUGCUCCAACUUAUGUGAGAGAAGCAGAGCCUCCAGGAACGACACGGCGUGGGAUUUAUUGUGGGCUCUGACCUUGCACAAUUGCUUAAAUGAAUGUCUGGCCCAGGAAUUGGAGAAGUUGGAGGAGGAAUGAACAGGAGCUGAAGGAGUUAUGGUCUUAGCUGCUGCCCCACACCCACAAGGUGGACCAGCAGAGGUGCCAAGCAAGAGCAGCAGCAGUGCCUGGUGAUCCUUACAGACCUGAGGCGAAGAGAACAUGGCUACCACCCAACCUGCAGGUGUCCUGCGAGGUCUGACUGCCAUGCUCAGGAUUAUGUGGAGAUGCAUAAAUGUCCCUCUUUUUAAGGACUACAUAAGAAAAUCUAUCAAGAAAAAAAGAAAGGGGAAAAAUAAAAACUGCUUAUUUUAAUGUUAAAUUAAUUGACCAAUACCACUACUUUUAUCAUAGUGGAAAUCUCAGUGCUAAAGAAAAUAAAUCAUUUUUGUUCCUCUAAAA